rnacentral:rRNA from 1 species
GAUGAACGCUAGCUACAGGCUUAACACAUGCAAGUCGAGGGGCAGCACAGUGUAGCAAUACACGGGUGGCGACCGGCGCACGGGUGCGUAACACGUAUCCAAUCUGCCCGUUACUCGGGGAUAGCCCUCUGAAAGGAAGAUUAAUACCCGAUGGCAUUCAUUUGCGGCAUCGCUUAUGAAUUAAAGAUUUAUCGGUAACGGAUGAGGAUGCGUACGAUUAGCUGGUUGGCGGGGUAACGGCCCACCAAGGCUACGAUCGUUAGGGGUUCUGAGAGGAAGGUCCCCCACACUGGAACUGAGACACGGUCCAGACGCCUACGGGAGGCAGCAGUGAGGAAUAUUGGUCAAUGGUCGAGAGACUGAACCAGCCAAGUAGCGUGAAGGAUGACUGCCCUAUGGGUUGUAAACUUCUUUUGUUUGGGAAUAAAGUCAGGUACGUGUACCUGUUUGUAUGUACCAUUCGAAUAAGCAUCGGCUAAUUCCGUGCCAGCCGCCGCGGUAAUAC